rnacentral:rRNA from 1 species
AUUGAACGCUGGCGGCAUGCCUUACACAUGCAAGUCGAACGGUAGAGGGGGCAACCCCUUGAGAGUGGCGAACGGGUGAGUAAUGCAUCGGAACGUGCCAGUUGUGGGGGAUAACGUAGCGAAAGCUACGCUAAUACCGCAUACGACCUGAGGGUGAAAGCGGGGGACUCGAAAGAGCCUCGCGCGAUCGGAGCGGCCGAUGUCAGAUUAGCUAGUUGGUGGGGUAAAGGCCCAUCAAGGCGACGAUCUGUAGCUGGUCUGAGAGGACGACCAGCCACACUGGGACUGAGACACGGCCCAGACUCCUACGGGAGGCAGCAGUGGGGAAUUUUGGACAAUGGACGAAAGUCUGAUCCAGCCAUGCCGCGUGCGGGAAGAAGGCCUUCGGGAUGUAAACCGCUUUUGUCAGGGAAGAAAUCUUCUGGGUUAAUACCUCGGGAGGAUGACGGUACCUGAAGAAUAAGCACCGGCUAACUACGUGCCAGCAGCCGCCGUAAAAC